CACAGAGGGCCACCAGGGACCAGGAGUCAGCUUCCUGGAGAAUUAUAAAUUUACAGCAACAGAACUUUUCUAUAUUUAGAAGUAGCACAACAAAUUUUCUGGGACUGUGAGUGGGGGCAGCUUAGACCAACAGAAAGGCCACCACACUGGAGCCCAGGAGAUGUGCUUAGGCCCACCCCAUCCAUGCUGCUGGUGACCAGGAGCCAGUCACUUUCCCUGCUGACGCUCAGAGACACCUGAGUUCACCUGACGCUCAGGCAGGUGCUCUUUCUUCCAGACCACACUCUCUUGGCAGGGAGGCACAAGGAUCCCUGGGACAGAGGUCACAUCCAUCUCAGCACUAUGCUGCCAGUCGACUCCCCCAGACCGUUCUUCCUUGUAGCUGCCUUCACAGCAAUGCUCACCCUAGGGUGGGGCAGGAGCCCAAGGACUGACCGCCACACACAGAAGGAAGGCUCCCUAGGUGCAACACCUGGCUGGGUCACAGAGCAGAGGUGCAGAGGACGGGACGGCAUUCCAGGCCGAGGGUGAGAGGGCGGGUCCUUCUAAGAGGAAGCUGAGAGGGCCAAAGGAGCAAGUAGGAGAUACGACAAUGGAAGCAAAAGUUGGAGUGAUGCGAGAAAGGGACCAGCAGCCAGCAACGCCAGAAACUGGAACAGGCGAGGAGACCGACCUCUCCGAGAGCCCCGCAGGAACCAGCCCUGCUCGCACCUUGACUUAAGCCCCAAGAAACUGAGCUCAGACUUCGGGCCUCCAGAACUGUCAGGGAACGCGUCAGACUCUUCCAUGGAUGAAGACCUCCAUUUUUUUUUUUUAAAUGGCAGUCCCUGUCCUGCCUCUCUCCUAGAGCUGUGCUCACCUGGCUCCAGGGGAGACGAGAUGUAUGCCGGCUUUGUACCUGGGCCUGCGACCCUACUGCUGUGACUCUCUGGGCCCAGGAAGUUCACCCCUGCAUGUCUCCCCUCACCCAGUCCCCUGACAGCUCUGGUGCACUGGUCCAGGCGAGAAGGAGGAGGAGGAAGGGCAGGGUCUCCUCUGAAGGUCCCAUCUCCAGCGGCUUGUGGUUUUCAAGUUUGACUUGUCUCCUGCGUCCAGUUUCCCUCAACACCGGGAAUUGCACAGGACCGCUGUGACGGCCACAUGGCUGUGCUCUGGGUCUCUGCCAAGGGGGAAGAGGGGACUGACAUCCAUCCCGUGCUGGACACUUUUGGCUUGGCACAAGGGCACCAUCUGCCGAGGGGCUCAUCUGCCCAGAGGGGACAGCCUUGUUUAAUCCUCACAAAAGCCCUGCCUGGGUUCUCAGUGGUCUGAGAAUUAUGUGCUGGCUUUGCAGGAGCCCCCAGAGCCUCGCAUCCAGAGCACGGGAGGGGCAGUAACGGGUGUGUGGGAGUGAGAAGCAAACCCACUCCCAGUAGCACCCCAGAAGAGGCCACUGAUCCUGCAAAUCCCUCCAUGGGAGCUGCCCAGGGCCCCCUCCCUGGAGACACGCAGAGGGAGCCCUGGGACGCCUGGGCUGCCACCCCCAAGACCCUGGGCCCACUUCUCUGUGCAGACCUCUGGCACAGAGGCCCCCACCCCAGGCUGAGCUCCCUGGGGCCAACCACAGAAAGGCCCAAGGGCUCUGUGUUCCUGCCUAGGUUUCUAACCACCCCAGAGUGGUUACUUCAUCACUCAUUUUUCCUCUCCCAGUCCUUUCCUGUACAGGUCUCCUGCCAGCACAUCACCAAUCCUGACUUCCCUGCAUUCCUUCCCUGGCUCAGAGACUUCCACGGCUCCACCUCGUCCAGACCUGGCACUUAGCAUCUACACACCCUUCUUCUCUCCCCUGAGCCCCUCUGGCUCCCUUUCAUCUCUUCCCCCCACAUCCCACCCCCAGACCUUUGCCCAGACUGCUGCCUUCCUGGACCGCCUUCCUUACCCUCCUUUCCUCUAUCUAAACAUGAAAGUCCCUUUCAGGCUGCAUGAAGGCCCUCCCCUCGUGCAGAGCAGAAGAGCAUCCCUGGCAUCAGGCGGGGCGUGGGCCAGGGCAAGGCGCUCUGGGAGUGCAGACUGGGGCCCGGAAUGGCCCUGAGGCCUGGAUGUGAAGAGGGCACCCGAUGUACCCUCUGCAGGGGCUGCACCCGCGGGCAGCUUCCUGUGAGCUGGGAUCCCUGGAGGGGGAACUGAUGGCCCAUCGGGCUAUGAGCCAGUGCCCAGGACAGCCCUCGCUGGAAGAGCCAAGGGUGGGCUCUCGGGUGGAGACCCCUCAGCCAUAGCUGGGUCAGGGUGCCUGGGAGACCCGUCGGCCCGUAAGGCAGACCAUCCACAGACACUUACUGAACGCCAGGUACCAGGAGAUAACAAGUCUGAGUGACUGUCCAAUACCAGAGCCACUAGCCACACAGGGCCACUGAGCAUUUGAAAUGUGGCUCGUCCCAGUUAAGACUUAGUACCCCCCAAAAAAGAAUAUAAAAAUCUCAUUAGUAAUUUUAUACUGGUUACAUGUUGAAACAAUAAUAUUAUUGGGUUAGUAUUGAGUUAAAUGCACUUUUUUGCCUAUUUCUUUUUACUUCUUUA